rnacentral:rRNA from 1 species
AUACGUAGGUGACAAGCGUUAUCCGGAUUUACUGGGCGUAAAGGGCGUGUAGGCGGUCUUGCAAGUCAGAAGUGAAAUUCCUGAGCUCAACUCGGGCGCUGCUUCUGAAACUGCAGGACUUGAGUGCUGGAGGGGAUAGCGGAAUUCCUAGUGGAGCGGUAAAAUGCGCAGAUAUUAGGAAGAACACCGGUGGCGAAGACGGCUCCCGGGACAGUAAAGGACGCUGAGGCGCGAAAGCGUGGGGAGCAAACAGGAUUAGAUGCCCGGGUAGUCCACGCCGUAAACGAUGAAUACUAGGUUUAGGGGGUAUCGACUCCCUCUGUGCCGCAGUUAACACAAUAAGUAUUCCGCCUGGGGAGUACGGCCGCAAGGUUGAAACUCAAAUGAAUUGGCGGGG